rnacentral:misc_RNA from 1 species
GAACGCACAUUGCGCCCUUUGGUAUUCCGAAGGGCAUGCCUGUUCGAGCGUCAUUAUCACCCCUCAAGCCCCCGGCUUGGUGUUGGAUGGUUUGGUGACAGAGCCCUUGGGCCACGGUCACCCCUCCCAAAGACAAUGACGGCGGCCUCGUUGGACCCCCGGUACACUGAGUUCUUCACCGAACACGUACUGGAUCAAGGGCCCGCGGAGCACGGUCUGCCUCCCCUCAGGGAGAACUUUUUUCUCAAGGUUGACCUCGGAUCAGGUAGGAAUACCCGCUGAACUUAAG